rnacentral:misc_RNA from 1 species
UUUUCUAAUGACACCGAAGCCGUGACAACUUUUUGAGUAGUUCGUCUGCAAUUCAGAUCUUUUAUAAUGGCUUCCAAGGAAUUGUCUGAAAAAAUCGCAAAUCCCUUCCCUCCACCAUCGAUCGGGCUUCCAUGGCCGCCAAGCGCCGCGCCCGGCAGCCAAGAACCGAAGAUUCCAAGGAGUUGGGCCUCAAUGGGGGCAACGAAGGUUCCGACGAGGAGGAGGAGGAGAGCAGCAAGUCCGACGCGCUGAAGCGAGCCGAGCAACCCUCGCCGCCGUCGCCGGAGGAUGCUGAGGCCGAGAGAUCCGGCGAGGCCUCUCCGCAGAGGAGCAAGCCGCGCGGUUGGGUUGCUAUGAAGACCAAGACGACGACCUCCAAGCGGGUCAAGAAACCCUCUCCGGCGUCGGAGAAGGAAUAUGAGGCGGGGGACUCGGGUGAUUUGUCACCGGCGAGCGACCCGCUACCCGACAACAUCGUUGACGCCGGCGACAACAAGAUGCCCGCGACGCUGAAGCCGGGCAAGAAGAGCUCCCCGACGCCGCAGCAGGAGGAAGAGCGCCCGGAGAAGCGUGCUGCGGGAUCUGAUGGCGAGACCGUGGCCACGUCGUCCCCGCAGCGCAAGAAGAAAAGUAAGAGGUCCGUCGAUAAGGACAGGCGCAAAAAGAACAGGAAUCAGAUUAGAAAGGCGUUGACCCAAGAAGACGAGGACCAUGACACGGUGAUGGCAGAGCAAGAGCAGAGCAACACCUCACUGCCACAGGACGAGCACGCCGCCCGUGAAGAGGAGCAAGAGGAGAAGAUGGCACAGCAAGAGCAUGCCGGUGACACUUCACACCCGCAUGACAAGGACAUGCGCAGCGCCCAUGGAGAGGAGCAGCAGGAUGCAAAUCAAGAGCAUGCGGAUGACACCUCACCCGCAGAAGACAAUCACAGUGUGGAUGAAGAGGAGCAGCAAGUGGAGCCGAUCCCACAGCAAGAGCAACCUAAUGACACCUCACCCCCACAAGAGAAGAACCGAGCCCAGGAGGAUGAGGAGACAGGAGCUCAAGUGAAUGGCAAAGCCUUGGAGGGGAGGAAUGCUCCAUCAACCAAGUUGCGCAGUUUUGAGUCAGAGAAAAAGCCAGCGGUCGAGCGAUCAUGGUCCUACGAUGACGAGCUCAAGAUCCUCAAUGCCUUGGUUGAGCACGCCCAGUCCCAUAACGGUUCUUUGCCAGACUCGUCGCAUGUUUUGGCCAAUCUCACCUUUGACAAAAUUGAUGCCAAUGAGGACAAGCUCACUGACAAGAUCCGCAAGCUUAGGACACGGUACCGCAGGUGGCUUUUACAAGGCUACACAUCUUCUGUUUCUGGUAGUCAGUUGUUUAAGCUGUCUGAAAUUCUCUGGGGCCAAGCUGAUGAAGAUGAACAGGUUGAGCCAACAUCUAGGGACUUCAGUGUAGUAUCAAAACUGUAUCCUCACCUGGCCAAAGAAGUCAAAGCAUAUGCCGAAACGCACAGCUCGGGUGACUUAAUCAUGGGAAUGGUCAUGACCAUAUGUGAUAAGAAGGCCCGCGAUCUUGACGCUAAGUGCAAGAAGCAACAGAUUGAAACAUUCAAGCUGGAGUUGGGCCAAGCAAACCUAACCAACGAAUUGCUCUCUGCACUUUCAAGUCAGACCCAUGUGAAAUUCUAGUAAAGGUCUCUGCUAUCUUUUGUUUUAGUGUAAUGAGUAGACGUGCUGUCAUUAGGUUAAUGUGGGACCAAGAACCUUCUUUUGGGGUACUGGAAAACUCUUAUCUGUUAACUAGUUAGUUGCUUAGCUUUGAUGUCUGUUUCUGCAUAUGGAAGUAGCUGUUACAGCUCGAUGGUGGAAAACAGUACUUUAACAUUUAAGUAUCAUGAGCUUAGUGAUCUAAUCAGACUGCUUGUGUGAUUUAUUGGUUUUAUGAUCUGUUGUUGUGUUAGCUUGUGUAUGGGAUGAGAGUUUAUACUCCAUCAAAAGAAC